rnacentral:rRNA from 1 species
UCCGUAGGUGAACCGUGCGGAAGGAUCAUUA